rnacentral:rRNA from 1 species
UUAGGAAUUUUGGGCAAUGGGCGCAAGCCUGACCCAGCAACGCCGCGUGGGCGACGAAGCCCUUCGGGGUGUAAAGCCCUUUUCCACGGGACGAAUCUGACGGUACCGUGGGAAGAAGCCCCGGCUAACUACGUGCCAGCAGCCGCGGUAAUACGUAGGGGGCGAGCGUUGUCCGGAUUCAUUGGGCGUAAAGCGCGCGCAGGCGGCCGCGUGAGCCCGGCGUGAAAGCCCCCAGCUCAACUGGGGGAGGUCGUCGGGGACCGCGUGGCUGGAGGCCGGCAGGGGAGAGUGGAAUUCCCGGUGUAGUGGUGGAAUGCGUAGAGAUCGGGAGGAACACCAGUGGCGAAGGCGACUCUCUGGGCCGGUCCUGACGCUCAGGCGCGAAAAGCGUGGGGAGCGAUCCGGAUUAGAUACCCGGGUAGUCCACGCCGUAAACGAUGGGUGCUAGGUGUCGGGGGUAUCGA